UGGAGGCUUCGUGGUGGGUGUUAGAGCAAAGAGACAAAUAAUCUUCUUUAGAAGACAGUUACAGUCACUUGUUCGUAGAAGUACACUGGAGAUGAUUAGCAAAAACACUAAUUUCUGCAAACCCCUACCUUCCCCACCUCCUAUAAAGUAAAAAUGUACUUACCCCAUUUUACAGGUGGGAAAAGGCCAUAAAGGGAGAUAAAGAGAGGCAAAUGAGUUGUUACCUGUUGUAAAAUGGCAGAGCAAUGAUUGGAAGUGGCUAUUGACCCACUGUUGGCACAAUCUUUAUUAUCAUCCCAGAGCUUGACUCAUGAAGCAUCUGAGAAGUCACACUGGGAAUCUGUGUAAGACAUGGACAAGAAAACAGCCCAAGAGCAGCACACCCUGAGCAGCAGAUGCUCAUAAUAAACCAGGUCCACCAAUUCUGUGCCAUUAAUCUCUCACCAAGAAAAAAUCAGUUUGCUCCAGCCACCAUAUUUUAGAAGCUGGAGUUAGAGAAGAAUGAAGAAAACACGGCGUGAGAGACGGAAAUGAAGCAGGACGCUGGUCCAGACCCGCCCUAACGUGUAUUGCCGCCCCUCCUCCUCUUUCAAACGAUGACAAUCACAAAACAUGCAAAAAACCUAUCAGCUGCUUUCACAAGUGGAGAGAGUGCAGCCAGGAGAGGACGGGACCGGAAGGAGGCCUCACCGCAGCGCCUCUGACCCCCGCCCGGAAGUGCAGCUCCACCGGAAGUGCGGCCUGUGUGGUGGCCGCGCUGCCACCACCACCAGCCUCCGGCCGACGGUCGCCGCUUCCUUAGGGGGUGGAAUGACUCCUCAGACUCCUGUCCUCCCAGCCUGGAAGCCAUCCUGAGGUCAGGGUCAAGUGCCUGGAUUCCCUCUGUCUGCCUCACUUCCUGAAAACACCUUCAUCAGUCUGUGCCUGUUUGUGACUUCGGUUUUGCCACUCAACUCUAUCAUGGAUCCCUCCUGCCCACUCAGGGCCCCUGAGUCUGUCCUGCAAGCUCCCCCUUGUCCAGGACUGUGGCUCAGGAUCCUCAUUUGGGGAGAGUAACGGUGGGACUCCAGUUUCCAACUGUGUCAUCCGGUUGUCAUCCUGCUGUUGGGCUGGCUGAGAGACAGGAGCACCCAAAAUGGCGGACAUCUCAAAUUGGGUCAAAAUGGCUGAUCUUCCUGCCAAGGCAGCCGUCACCACCACAUCAUCUCCAGUAAAUUGAAGCCUAGAUGGGAAAAUUGAAACUUUCCAUCCAGGACUUUCCAGCCAGGGACCACCCCCCCAUCGUCUGUACUAUCCCCACCCCCAGCCAAUCACCUAGGGACACGGUGUUCCCUUGACUAAUUUGGCAAGGGACCCACCCGGAUCCAGACCUGGCACCAAUAAGGCUUAAAAACCCCCACACUCCCCAACCCGGGCCACCUCUGAGUCACGGAACCUCGCCCGGGAGUGCUCCCCAUUAAAGCACUCUGGAAC
rnacentral:lncRNA from 1 species